UGCAAGUCGAACGGGUUGUACUUCGGUACAGCUAGUGGCGGACGGGUGAGUAACACAUAGGAAUCUGCCCGAGAGUGGGGGAUAACCCAGGGAAACUUGGAUUAAUACCGCAUGAUCUCUACGGAGCAAAGCUGGGGACCUUCGGGCCUGGCGCUUUUGGAGGAGCCUAUGUCUGAUUAGCUUGUUGGUGAGGUAACGGCUCACCAAGGCGACGAUCAGUAACUGGUCUGAGAGGACGACCAGUCACACCGGAACUGAGACACGGUCCGGACUCCUACGGGAGGCAGCAGUGGGGAAUAUUGGACAAUGGGCGAAAGCCUGAUCCAGCAAUGCCGCGUGUGUGAAGAAGGCCUUCGGGUUGUAAAGCACUUUAGGAUGGAAAGAAAAAACUUCAGUUAAUAGCUGAAGUCUUGACGGUACCAUCAGAAUAAGCACCGGCUAGCUCUGUGCCAGCAGCCGCGGUAAUACAGAGGGUGCAAGCGUUAAUCGGAUUUACUGGGCGUAAAGCGUGUGUAGGUGGUGGCGUAAGUCGAUCGUGAAAUCCCCGGGCUCAACCUGGGAACUGCUUUCGAUACUGCGUCACUAGAGUACGGUAGAGGGUGGUGGAAUUUCCGGUGUAGCGGUGAAAUGCGUAGAUAUCGGAAGGAACAUCAAUGGCGAAGGCAACCACCUGGGCCUGUACUGACACUGAGACACGAAAGCGUGGGGAUCAAACAGGAUUAGAUACCCUGGUAGUCCACGCCGUAAACGAUGACAACUUGACGUUGGUUUGCUUAGCGAAUCAGUGUCGUAGCUAACGCGAUAAGUUGUCCGCCUGGGGGAGUACGCCGCAAGGUUGAAACUCAAGGAAUUGACGGGGGCCCGCCACAGCGGUGGAGUUAUGGUGGAUUAAUUCGAUGCAACGCGAAGACCUUACCUGGCCUUGAACAUGUCCGGAAUCCUGCAAAGAUGCGGGAGUGCCUCGGGAUCGAACACAGUGCCUGCAUGCUUGUUCGUCCAGCUCGUGUCUGGAAAUGUUGGUUAAGUCCGCACCGAGCCACCCAUUGUUCUUAGUUGCA
rnacentral:rRNA from 1 species